AACGAACGUUAGCGGCGCGCCUAACACAUGCAAGUCGAACACGACAGGGGCAACUCUGUUGAGUGGCGCACGGGUGAGUAACACGUAGGUAAUCUCCCCCCGAGUGGUGAAUAACCUUCCGAAAGGAGGGCUAAUACAGCAUAAGACCACCGCUGCGAAAGGAGCUGAGGUCAAAGCGGAGGAUCGCAAGACUUCGCGCUUGGGGAUGAGCCUGCGGCCCAUCAGGUAGUUGGCGGGGUAACAGGCCACCAAGCCUAAGACGGGUAGCUGGUCUGAGAGGAUGAGCAGCCACACUGGAACUGAGACACGGUCCAGACUCCUACGGGAGGCAGCAGUGGGGAAUCUUGCGCAAUGGACGAAAGUCUGACGCAGCGACGCCGCGUGGGUGAUGAAGGCCUUCGGGUUGUAAAGCCCUGUGGGGAGGGACGAAUAAGUUUCAGCUAAUACCUGAAGCGAUGACGGUACCUCCUUAGCAAGCACCGGCUAACUCUGUGCCAGCAGCCGCGGUAA
rnacentral:rRNA from 1 species